rnacentral:rRNA from 1 species
UAACACGGGGGUUGCGAGCGUUGUCCGGAAUUACUAGGCGUAAAGGGCAGGCAGGCGGACCUGCAAGUUUUCUGUUAAAGACGUCAGCUCAACUGGCGCACGGCAGGAGAUACUGCAGAUCUUGAAUGCGGUUGGGGAAGACAGAAUUCCUGGUGUAGCGGUGGAAUGCGCAGAGAUCAGGAGGAAUACCAAAGGCGAAGGCAGUCUUCCAAGCCGUUAUUGACGCUCAACUGCGAAGGUGUGGGUAUCAAACAGGAUUAGAUACCCUGGUAGUCCACACAGUAAACGAUGAUCACUAGGUGUCGGUUUCGUAAUAGGAUUCGGUGCCGUAGCUAACGCGUUA